UACAGAGGGUGCGAGCGUUAAUCGGAAUUACUGGGCGUAAAGCGUGCGUAGACGGUUAUCUAAGUCGGAUGUGAAAGCCCCGGGCUCAACCUGGGAAUUGCAUUCGAGACUGAAUAGCUAGGGUGCGGUAGAGGGAAGCGGAAUUUCCGGUGUAGCGGUGAAAUGCGUAGAUAUACGGAGGAACACCUGCGGCGAAGGCGGGUAGCUGGGCCAACACUGACGCUGAGACGCGAAAGCUAGGGGAGCAAACGGG
rnacentral:rRNA from 1 species